rnacentral:sRNA from 1 species
GAUGCCAGGGAAUCAAAGUCAGUCUCACACAGUGAGCUUGCUCACUGGUGGGCGACUGACCUUGAUUCCCGCCCCGGCAUGAGCAUAAAAGUUAUGCGGCAGCUUAACGAUAUGCGAAUGUCGGGUAGGAGUGCGGGAGGGCGCAGCACGGAGCAGUCCGUAUGGC